UACGUAGGGUGCGAGCGUUAAUCGGAAUUACUGGGCGUAAAGCGUGCGCAGGCGGUUUUGUAAGCCAGAUGUGAAAUCCCCGGGCUUAACCUGGGAAUGGCAUUUGGGACUGCAAGGCUGGAGUGUGGCAGAGGAGACUGGAAUUCCCGGUGUAGCAGUGAAAUGCGUAGAUAUCGAGAGGAACACCAGUGGCGAAGGCGAGUCUCUGGACGACACCUGACACUGAGGCACGAAAGCUAGGGGAGCAAACAGG
rnacentral:rRNA from 1 species